ACGUAGCGGUCGAGACUGUUGAAUUUGUUUGCUUCGGUGCCUGACUUUUAAUCAGAGGGUCCUCGGUUCGAGCCCGAGAGGACGUACCA
rnacentral:tRNA from 1 species